AACGCAUAUUGCGCCCUCUGGUAUUCCGGGGGGCAUGCCUGUCCGAGCGUCAUUACUAUAUUCAAGCACGGCUUGUGUGUUGAGCAUUUUGUUCCUAUUUUUUUGUGAACAAAGGCUUGAAAUGCAGUGGCGAUGCCUAAAUUGGUUGCCUGAACGUAUGGGGUUCUAUCACACGUUCUCUGGCUCCAAUUGUGCAUCUUGUCCCAACCUUUUUUCCAAGGAAAAUUGACCUCGGAUCAGGUAGGAAUACCCGCUGAACUUAA
rnacentral:misc_RNA from 1 species